UACAGAGGUGUCAAACGUUGUCCGGAAUUAUUGGGCGUAAAGGGCGCGUAGGCGGCCGGGUAAGUGAGAUGUGAAAGCUCUGGGCUCAACCCAGGAAUUGCAUUUCAUACUGCUCGGCUAGAGAUUGGUAGAGGAUGGCGGAAUUCCUGGUGUAGCGGUGAAAUGCGCAGAUAUCAGGAAGAACACCCGUGGCUAAGGCGGUUCUCUAGUACGGUACUGACGCUGAGACGCGAAAGCGUGGGGAGCGAACAGG
rnacentral:rRNA from 1 species